GAUGAACGCUGGCGGCGUGCCUAAUACAUGCAAGUCGAGCGAACAGACGAGGAGCUUGCUCCUCUGACGUUAGCGGCGGACGGGUGAGUAACACGUGGAUAACCUACCUAUAAGACUGGGAUAACUUCGGGAAACCGGAGCUAAUACCGGAUAAUAUAUUGAACCGCAUGGUUCAAUAGUGAAAGACGGUUUUGCUGUCACUUAUAGAUGGAUCCGCGCCGCAUUAGCUAGUUGGUAAGGUAACGGCUUACCAAGGCAACGAUGCGUAGCCGACCUGAGAGGGUGAUCGGCCACACUAGAACUGAGACACGGUCCAGACUCCUACGGUAGGAAGCAGUAGGGAAUCUUCCGCAAUGGGCGGAAGCCUGACGGAGCAACGCCGCGUGAGUGAUGAAGGUCUUCGGAUCGUAAAACUCUGUUAUUAGGGAAGAACAAAUGUGUAAGUAACUAUGCACGUCUUGACGGUACCUAAUCAGAAAGCCACGGCUAACUACGUG
rnacentral:rRNA from 1 species